UGUAUUUUAUUUUUAUUUCAUAUGACAAUCGGAUACAACAUAUAUUGAAAUAUAAUAAAAUAGUGAAAAGUGGUUGGUAACAAUAUCAAUAAAAACAUUAAAUAAUAACAGAAAUUGUAUAGUGGUAACAUAGAUAGCCAUUAAUAGAGGUUAAAAACAAAGUCAAACAUUUGUUAAAUAAUUAAAGUUAGGGUCUAAAUGUUGGUUCAUAAGCGUUUCAAAAAAACAGAAUUAAAAUAUCUUUAUUAUCUCUGGAGAUAUUACAAUUGGCAUAUCUUUGUGGGAUACUCUGUAUCAUGUCAUUUUGUUAUAAAUGAGUUGCUUUCAUAGUUGUUUUCCACAACUAAAUUCAAAUAUAUAAUAAUUUUCCUCUUAAUCCCACAUAACCAACAGUAAAAUUUCUUAUAAGUAUACAUCACCACUAUAGGUAAGCAGUUCACUUUAUACUUUUUUUAAAAAAAAACAAUUGAUCAUUGGUAUUGCUUAAUAAUAAUAAUUUUAAUUGCUCAUUGUUGUGAUUUAAUAUAAUCGUUUAAUUAGUAAUUUAGAUAGUUAAUGGAUUGGGAAUAGGGAGGGUGCGUUCAUUUUGGAGUUUGGACACUAUGGUGAUUACAAACAGUUCACUUUAGGUUUAUACUGUUUGUAACGCUAUGCUAGCUUUGCUUAUUGUUCCAAAAUGCAUGAGUAUCUAUAUUGGUGAGCGUUUGAAAGUUUGUAUGUGUUAUCGAAUAUAUAUAAAUAACAAGCAUUUAUAUACAAAAUUUAUAUUAGUGUGCUGUAUUUUACGCAGUAUAUUUAAUUUUUUAAACAAAUUUUAAGCUUCCUGAUACCAAUAAAGUACCAUCAGAUACUACAUGGCAGAGUACGAGUCGAAGGAAAGCGAUUGUAACGAACUGUCAAGGAGCAAUCAAGAUAUUCAAUAGGGGAUAUCUGUGAUUGAUUGCUUUUUUUGCGUUUAGUAUAAAUUCAAAUAUGCAACACUUGAACAAUUAUUUUGAUUUAAAUUUAUUACACAGAUUUUAGUUGUAAGUGUAUUUUUAUUAUACUUAGUAUAAAUAUUAAUUAAAGUAUAAUAUGUGGUAGAUUUGACUAUUACAAAAAUGUUAAAUUCAAAUAAAUAAAUAAUAUACCUGUCAUUAAUUAAAAAGGAAAGUUACAAUAAUAAAAACAAAUUGAAAUAAAGAUAUAUGCCUAUAAAUAGAUAACUAUGUAAUUAAUUUUUAUAAAUUAAAAAAAAUAUAAAUGUAGGUAACAAUAAUAAGAACAAAAUAGAAUCGAGUGUUCUAGUUUUACAAAUAAUAAUUACUGGGUGCGUGACGUUUGCGCAUUCCGAACCAAAGUUCGUAUUUUGAGUGAAUAGUGAUUCAUUUAUAACAUUAUUAAAAUGGUCAGUUAUCACAAAUUUCGGUGUAUCUAUUACACAGACGUAUAAUAUAUUAUGCGUCUAUGAUCUAUUAUCAUUUAUUAUUAUAGUCACGAAUUAAAAUAUAUCUUAUUAAUUUGUGAUUAUAGCCUUCCAGCGUUCGCUGCCAUACCUCGAUGGGAUAACUGUUUGUGACACGAAUUAUGAUUAUACAGGAUAUUGAAUGGAAAAGUUUUAUCAAUAUUUUCUUGCUUCCGCCCGGUUCUCACUGUUAGGCAUAAUGGCUAGUGCUUUAAAACAAAAUUGAUAUGAAAAUAAACUAAAACCAGUUUAAAGUUUAGACUUUAAGAGUAGGGUGUGUAAUAAAUUACAUAUCUAUUACACACACAUUUUAUAAUAAAUAUUGACAUAAUUUGUAAAAAGUACACUUUAUGAUGUUAGAAGCCUUGCCAAAAAUGAGAAGGUUCCAGAGAUUCACUUAUCACACGUUCGUUCAGUAUCAUCUUAAUUCGUGGUUUGUGAGCGCGGAUCGAUGACGUAUUCAAUUCAGUGACGUCAUGGUUGUAAUCUGAGCUCUACCAAUUGCCGUCAAACGCAAAACCGAACGACAUGUUGGAUUAUGUCAAGUGCUGUCAGUAAUUGCCAGUGCUUCUCAAACUUUUUCGACUCAUGGCUCUCCUUUUGAACUGUUUUCUCAGGGCACUCUUGCAAUUUAUCGCAAUCAAAAACCUAUUCUGAUCGGAG